CCUAAAGCAUUCAAAACAACGGAGCAGCCCAGCUCCCUUGACUCCCCCUUUGCUUGUCAGCAGCUGGACGCCUGACAGGGACUGGGGAAAAGAGCAGCAUGGGAAGAAGGAAGAGGAAUGGCGCUGAGCCAGCGUUCAACACAAAGAACCAGCAGCAGAAACUACUUGCCUAAGAUCCAAGAGAAAGUGCCACCUUUCGGAAAUCCCUCCUGAACGUCAAUUCCACCUUUGAAAUCCCGGUUGUGUAUGACAGAACUCGGAAACACAGCUUCAUCUGCCAAACUUCAGCUGGUCAACAGCACAGUGCAAGCUGCCUGCCAGACAAAAGAAAUAGCAACCUCAAGUGCAGUGACACAAAGGUGCUUUGCAAAAUGUUUUUAAAUUG